CCUACGGGUGGCAGCAGUAGGGAAUAUUGCUCAAUGGGGGAAACCCUGAAGCAGCAACGCCGCGUGGAGGAUGAAGGUUUUCGGAUUGUAAACCUCUUUUGUUAGAGAAGAAAAUUACGGUAUCUAACGAAUAAGCACCGGCCAACUCCGUGCAAGCAGCCGCGGUAAUACGGCGGAUGCAAGCGUUACUCGGAAUCACUGGGCGUAAAGAGCGCGUAGGCGGGAUGGCAAGUCAGAUGUGAAAUCCUAUGGUUUAACCAUGGAACUGCAUUUGAAACUGUCAUUCUAGAGUAUGGGAGAGGUAGGUGGAAUGCUUGGUGUAGGGGUGAAAUCCGUAGAGAUCAAGAGGAAUACUGAUUGCGAAGGCGACCUGCUAGAACAUAACUGACGCUGAUGCGCGAAAGCGUGGGGAGCAAACAGGAUUAGAUACCCGUGUAGUC
rnacentral:rRNA from 1 species